GGGGAUAUAGCUCAGUGGUAGAGCACUUGCCUAGCAAGCGCAAGGCCCUGGGUUCAGUCCCCAGCUCCG
rnacentral:tRNA from 1 species